GAUGAAGAACGUAGCGAAAUGCGAUACUUGGUGUGAAUUGCAGAAUCCCGUGAACCAUCGAGUCUUUGAACGCAAGUUGCGCCCGAAGCCACUAGGCCGAGGGCACGCCUGCCUGGGCGUCACACGUCGUUCCCCCCCCAUCUACUCCUUCGGGAUUGCAGGGGGCGGAUGAUGGCCUCCCGUGCGCCUCGCCGCGCGGUUGGCAUAAAUACCAAGUCCUACGACGCACGCCACGACAAUCGGUGGUUGCGAAACCUCGGUUGCCCGUCGUGUGCGUUCGUCGCGCAUCGAGGGCUCGAAAAAAUGCUCGGCUCCGGCUCGGCUUUCAACGCGACCCCAGGUCAGGCGGGGUUACCCGCUGAAUUUAAGCAUAUCAAUAAGCGGAGGA
rnacentral:misc_RNA from 1 species